UGAGAAUCGCAAUAUUUGAAGGAUGGACAGAAUUAUGACUGGCUCUCUCCCACAUCCCCACUGAAGCCCACAACAGUCAAUCAGAACCCAGAGAAUGAAACCUCCAGGGCACCCCCAUCACAGCAGGAGGAAGGGAAAGGCAGGAACUCAGCAUUUAAUAGCAAUUCUGAGGGGUGCUGGGCUCCCACAGUCCCUACUGACCACACGGGGAAUCGCAGUAUCUCAGCGGCUCUCAGCACAGGAGAUGGAAGAAAACGGCUGAUCACCAAGGCAAUUUUACCUUUGAAGCUCCUGCAGCUCUCCCAUGGAAACAGAAAGCAAACUGAUUUUGAUUAACUUUAGUACCUCCCAAUACAAGGCUGUUCAGCUGUCAAUGGCCCAGACAGGUGCUCCCUCCCGCCUGCUGACCUACCGUACCUCUGAAGUCUUCUCAACUUGAUUUGGAAGGUCUAGAGAUAUUUACAAAGCUGUGCAGUCAUGGGCCUGCCUAAUGCAUGAUACAUGCCUGAUACCAUGGAUGUUCUUGAUGGCGUAGCUGAUCUCUCGCCGGAGCUCCUUCUCGUCAAACUCCAUCUGCACCAGAAGAAAAGAUUGUGAGAAGGGGCCCGGCAACCCAUACAGCAGAGCACCAUGCAGAU